AACGAACGCUGGCGGCAGGCUUAACACAUGCAAGUCGAGCGCCCCGCAAGGGGGGCGGCAGACGGGUGAGUAACGCGUGGGAACGUACCCUUAUCUUCGGGAUAUCUCCGUGAAACUGGAAUUAAUACCGAAUGUGCCCUUUGGGGGAAAGAUUUAUCGUAUAAGGAUCGGCCCGCGUUGGAUUAGCGGGUUGGUGGGGUAAAGGCCUACCAAGGCGACGAGCCCUAGCUGGUCUGAGAGUAUGAUCAUCCACAUUGGGACUGAGACACGGCCCAAAAUCCUACGGGAGGCAGCAGUGGGGAAUAUUGGAAAAUGGGCGCAAGCAUGAUCCAGCCAUGACGCGUGAGUGAUGAAGGCAUUAGGGUUGUAAAGCUCUUUCACCGGAGAAGAUAAUGACGGUAUCCGGAGAAGAAGCCCCGGCUAACUUCGUG
rnacentral:rRNA from 1 species